CUCCAUCUGGCUCAUAAAACGGAUCUAAAUUUUCCUACUCGAGUAGACGGAUGAGCCAUAGCAGCGGGCAGCUCUCUCUGGGAUGGUCCGAGGCUCAGGGAGCUCUCUGGGCUCCAAAGCCAGCUGCUCGGGGCUGCAGAGCAGCCGGGCAGACACAGGCAGGCAGAGCGGUCAGUGUCAGAACAGCGGCUGGAACGGGUGGGAGGCGACGGGCCGAGAAACCACACGACCAAGCGCCGCAGAGUGGACAUGAGGCCUGGUGUCUCUCAUUAAGGACAAAGAUAAUGUACCCUUCGGUUUUCAAGACCGGAAAAGAAGGCGCCGGAAGCCAGUCCGCCCAAGGAGGCAUUGCCGUCAGAGCUGGAGCGUGAGUCCGCCUGUGCCCCAGGGCU